CCUACGGGAGGCAGCAGUGGGGAAUUUUGGACAAUGGGCGCAAGCCUGAUCCAGCAAUGCCGCGUGAGUGAAGAAGGCCUUCGGGUUGUAAAGCUCUUUUGUCAGGGAAGAAACGGACUUUUCUAAUACAGAGGUCUAAUGACGGUACCUGAAGAAUAAGCACCGGCUAACUACGUGCCAGCAGCCGCGGUAAUACGUAGGGUGCAAGCGUUAAUCGGAAUUACUGGGCGUAAAGCGUGCGCAGGCGGUUUUGUAAGUUUGUCGUGAAAUCCCCGGGCUCAACCUGGGAAUGGCGAUGAAGACUGCAAGGCUAGAGUUUGGCAGAGGGGGGUAGAAUUCCACGUGUAGCAGUGAAAUGCGUAGAUAUGUGGAGGAACACCGAUGGCGAAGGCAGCCCCCUGGGUCAAAACUGACGCUCAUGCACGAAAGCGUGGGGAGCAAACAGGAUUAGAUACCCUGGUAGUCCACGCCCUAAACGAUGUCUACUAGUUGUCGGGUCUUAAUUGACUUGGUAACGCAGCUAACGCGUGAGUAGACCGCCUGGGGAGGACGGUCGCGAAGUAAGUUAAACUUAAAUUAGUAAGUUAGUUAGGCGUUGAGAGNGCCGACGGACGACGACGAGGGAGGAGG
rnacentral:rRNA from 1 species